GGUAAGGUGGCUCAAUGGUAGAGUGCUUGCCUCACAUGCAUGAGGCCCUGGGUUCUAUUCAUCAUCACCA
rfam:Dipodomys ordii contig_52550, whole genome shotgun sequence.